GACCCAGUAGCUCAGCUGGAUAGAGCGGCUGCCUCCUAAGCAGCAGGUCGACGGUUCGACUCCGCCCUGGGCCA
rnacentral:tRNA from 1 species